rnacentral:lncRNA from 1 species
UUUUUUUUUGUGGCUACUAUUGCCAUUUAUCCAAAAUAUUACACUUCCCGGAACUGAAAUAUUAGAAUGUUUUACUACAGACUUCAACACUGUAGUUCUAUGUUUAUACACAUGCACCUAAUUUUGUAAGACUGUUAUUUGAACAUUUAUCUUUUUUUUUCUUUUCUUUUUGUUAAUUUUUAGUUUUGCAUGUCUAUCUCGGACUACAAGUUUUUGUUUGCAUUGUCAUUUAUUGUUCUCGUUGAUAUGGUUGUUUUAUUUUACAAAUGUGACACAAUCAAUAAGUGUUGAUUAUAAAGGCAUGCAUUUUUCAACUUCUGAUAUUGAUUACAAUUGUAAGUCGUAUUGUGUGGUCAUUAAAUACCUGGUGAUUCAAACACAUAUAUACUAUCAAUCCUAUGGUCUGCCGUAAAUAGAACAGUCGGUGUGGAUCCUUGAGAUUUAUUCAUCAUAAUUAACUGCUUGUUAUUAUCAGCAUAGUAAAUGUAAUCACCCGAUACACCUAUAGCACGGUAGUCAUAAGAAGGAAAAUUUGUUGAAACGAUUGUUUUAAUAUCAGAACCAUCCACAUUAACUGAUUUUAAAUCACCAUAGUAAUUCAUCCAAUACACUCU